rnacentral:rRNA from 1 species
GACGAACGCUGGCGGCGCGCCUAACACAUGCAAGUCGAACGGAGUCAAGAGGAGCUUGCUUUUCUUGACUUAGUGGCGAAUGGGUGAGUAACGCGUGAGUAACCUGCCCUGGAGUGGGGGACAACAGUUGGAAACGACUGCUAAUACCGCAUAAGCCCACGGAUCCGCAUGGAUCUGCGGGAAAAGGAUUUAUUCGCUUCAGGAUGGACUCGCGUCCAAUUAGCUAGUUGGUGAGGUAACGGCCCACCAAGGCGACGAUUGGUAGCCGGACUGAGAGGUUGAACGGCCACAUUGGGACUGAGACACGGCCCAGACUCCUACGGGAGGCAGCAGUGGGGGAUAUUGCACAAUGGGGGAAACCCUGAUGCAGCGACGCCGCGUGGAGGAAGAAGGUUUUCGGAUUGUAAACUCCUGUCGUUAGGGACGAUAAUGACGGUACCUAACAAGAAAGCACCGGCUAACUACGUG